ensembl:snoRNA SNORD36 Small nucleolar RNA SNORD36
UGGCAGUGAUGCAUGAAUUUCUUCACUGUAGUCACCAUGAAGAGUAAAAUCCGAGCUUUUUACUCCAC